AAUUACAGUGACGACUCACAAUAUUCAAGCUCAACAGACCGGAUUGCAGGAUCUUCUCUUUGUCGAGAAGAACUCUUGCGUGUCGAGUAACCCGCUGAACUGAGUAAUU
rfam:Beta vulgaris subsp. vulgaris chromosome 5, whole genome shotgun sequence.